AGUGAACGCUGGCGGUAGGCCUAACACACGCAAGUCGAACGGCAGCACAGGAGAGCUUGCUCUCUGGGUGGCGAGUGGCGGACGGGUGAGGAAUACAUCGGAAUCUACCUUUUCGUGGGGGAUAACGUAGGGAAACUUACGCUAAUACCGCAUACGACCUACGGGUGAAAGUGGGGGACCGCAAGGCCUCACGCGAUUAGAUGAGCCGAUGUCCGAUUAGCUAGUUGGCGGGGUAAUGGCCCACCAAGGCGACGAUCGGUGGCUGGUCUGAGAGGAUGAUCAGCCAAACUGUAACUUAGACACGGUCCAGACUACUACGGGAGGAAGCAGUGGGGAAUAUUGGACAAUGGGCGCAAGCCUGAUCCAGCCAUACCGCGUGGGUGAAGAAGGCCUUCGGGUUGUAAAGCCCUUUUGUUGGGAAAGAAAUCCUAUCGGUUAAUAACCGGUGGGGAUGACGGUACCCAAAGAAUAAGCACCGGCUAACUUCGUGCCAGCAGCCGCCGUAA
rnacentral:rRNA from 1 species